ensembl:snRNA U6 U6 spliceosomal RNA
UUGCUUCAGCAGCACAUAUCCUAAAAUUGAAAUGAUUCAUAGAAGGAUGAGCAUGGCCCCUGUGCAAGGAUGAAAUGAAAACUUGUGAAGCAUUCCAUAUUUUU